GGUUAAGCGACUAAGCGUACACGGUGGAUGCCCUGGCAGUCAGAGGCGAUGAAGGACGUGCUAAUCUGCGAAAAGCGUCGGUAAGGUGAUAUGAACCGUUAUAACCGGCGAUGUCCGAAUGGGGAAACCCAGUGCAAUUCGUUGCACUAUCGUUAACUGAAUACAUAGGUUAACGAGGCGAACCGGGGGAACUGAAACAUCUAAGUACCCCGAGGAAAAGAAAUCAACCGAGAUUCCCCCAGUAGCGGCGAGCGAACGGGGAGCAGCCCAGAGUCUGAAUCAGCUUGUGUGUUAGUGGAACGGUCUGGAAAGUCCGACGGUACAGGGUGAUAGUCCCGUACACCAAAAUGCACAGGCUGUGAACUCGAAGAGUAGGGCGGGACACGUGGUAUCCUGUCUGAAUAUGGGGGGACCAUCCUCCAAGGCUAAAUACUCCUGACUGACCGAUAGUGAACCAGUACCGUGAGGGAAAGGCGAAAAGAACCCCGGCGAGGGGAGUGAAAAAGAACCUGAAACCGUGUACGUACAAGCAGUGGGAGCACCUUUAUGGUGUGACUGCGUACCUUUUGUAUAAUGGGUCAGCGACUUAUAUUCUGUAGCAAGGUUAACCGUAUAGGGGAGCCGCAGGGAAACCGAGUCUUAACUGGGCGUUAAGUUGCAGGGUAUAGACCCGAAACCCGGUGAUCUAGCCAUGGGCAGGUUGAAGGUUGGGUAACACUAACUGGAGGACCGAACCGACUAAUGUUGAAAAAUUAGCGGAUGACUUGUGGCUGGGGGUGAAAGGCCAAUCAAACCGGGAGAUAGCUGGUUCUCCCCGAAAGCUAUUUAGGUAGCGCCUCGUGAACUCAUCUUCGGGGGUAGAGCACUGUUUCGGCUAGGGGGUCAUCCCGACUUACCAACCCGAUGCAAACUACGAAUACCGAAGAAUGUUAUCACGGGAGACACACGGCGGGUGCUAACGUCCGUCGUGAAGAGGGAAACAACCCAGACCGCCAGCUAAGGUCCCAAAGUCAUGGUUAAGUGGGAAACGAUGUGGGAAGGCACAGACAGCCAGGAUGUUGGCUUAGAAGCAGCCAUCAUUUAAAGAAAGCGUAAUAGCUCACUGGUCGAGUCGGCCUGCGCGGAAGAUGUAACGGGGCUAAACCAUGCACCGAAGCUGCGGCAGCGACACUAUGUGUUGUUGGGUAGGGGAGCGUUCUGUAAGCCUGCGAAGGUGGCCUGUGAGGGUUGCUGGAGGUAUCAGAAGUGCGAAUGCUGACAUAAGUAACGAUAAAGCGGGUGAAAAGCCCGCUCGCCGGAAGACCAAGGGUUCCUGUCCAACGUUAAUCGGGGCAGGGUGAGUCGACCCCUAAGGCGAGGCCGAAAGGCGUAGUCGAUGGGAAACAGGUUAAUAUUCCUGUACUUGGUGUUACUGCGAAGGGGGGACGGAGAAGGCUAUGUUAGCCGGGCGACGGUUGUCCCGGUUUAAGCAUGUAGGCUGAUUAUCCAGGCAAAUCCGGAUAAUCAAGGCUGAGGUGUGAUGACGAGGCACUACGGUGCUGAAGUAACAAAUGCCCUGCUUCCAGGAAAAGCCUCUAAGCAUCAGGUAACAUCAAAUCGUACCCCAAACCGACACAGGUGGUCAGGUAGAGAAUACCAAGGCGCUUGAGAGAACUCGGGUGAAGGAACUAGGCAAAAUGGUGCCGUAACUUCGGGAGAAGGCACGCUGGUGUGUAGGUGAAGUCCCUGCGGAUGGAGCUGAGACCAGUCGAAGAUACCAGCUGGCUGCAACUGUUUAUUAAAAACACAGCACUGUGCAAACACGAAAGUGGACGUAUACGGUGUGACGCCUGCCCGGUGCCGGAAGGUUAAUUGAUGGGGUUAUCCGUAAGGAGAAGCUCUUGAUCGAAGCCCCGGUAAACGGCGGCCGUAACUAUAACGGUCCUAAGGUAGCGAAAUUCCUUGUCGGGUAAGUUCCGACCUGCACGAAUGGCGUAAUGAUGGCCAGGCUGUCUCCACCCGAGACUCAGUGAAAUUGAACUCGCUGUGAAGAUGCAGUGUACCCGCGGCAAGACGGAAAGACCCCGUGAACCUUUACUAUAGCUUGACACUGAACAUUGAGCCUUGAUGUGUAGGAUAGGUGGGAGGCUUUGAAGCGUGGACGCCAGUCUGCGUGGAGCCAACCUUGAAAUACCACCCUUUAAUGUUUGAUGUUCUAACGUUGGCCCCUUAUCGGGGUUGCGGACAGUGUCUGGUGGGUAGUUUGACUGGGGCGGUCUCCUCCCAAAGCGUAACGGAGGAGCACGAAGGUUAGCUAAUCCUGGUCGGACAUCAGGAGGUUAGUGCAAUGGCAUAAGCUAGCUUGACUGCGAGCGUGACGGCGCGAGCAGGUGCGAAAGCAGGUCAUAGUGAUCCGGUGGUUCUGAAUGGAAGGGCCAUCGCUCAACGGAUAAAAGGUACUCCGGGGAUAACAGGCUGAUACCGCCCAAGAGUUCAUAUCGACGGCGGUGUUUGGCACCUCGAUGUCGGCUCAUCACAUCCUGGGGCUGAAGUAGGUCCCAAGGGUAUGGCUGUUCGCCAUUUAAAGUGGUACGCGAGCUGGGUUUAGAACGUCGUGAGACAGUUCGGUCCCUAUCUGCCGUGGGCGCUGGAGAAUUGAGGGGGGCUGCUCCUAGUACGAGAGGACCGGAGUGGACGCAUCACUGGUGUUCGGGUUGUCAUGCCAAUGGCACUGCCCGGUAGCUAAAUGCGGAAGAGAUAAGUGCUGAAAGCAUCUAAGCACGAAACUUGCCCCGAGAUGAGUUCUCCCUGAGACUUUAAGUCUCCUGAAGGAACGUUAAAGACGAUGACGUUGAUAGGCCGGGUGUGUAAGCGCAGCGAUGCGUUGAGCUAACCGGUACUAAUGAACCGUGAGGCUUAACCUU
rnacentral:rRNA from 1 species